UGAGCAAUCUGCCCUUCUCAUCGGAAUAAGCGUUGGAAACGACGUCUAAUGCCGAAUACGACCUCCUUUCGCAUGAUCGGAGGUGGAAAGCUCCGGCGGAGAAGGAUGAGCUCGCGGCCUAUCAGCUUGUUGGUGGGGUGAUGGCCUACCAAGGCGACGACGGGUAGCCGGCCUGAGAGGGCGACCGGCCACACUGGGACUGAGACACGGCCCAGACUCCUACGGGAGCAG
rnacentral:rRNA from 1 species